rnacentral:ncRNA from 2 species
AUCUUAUAAAGAGCAACGGAGGGACUAGCCCUACGAUGUUGCACCAACCUAUUAAAUUAGGUGGUAAAGCUAGAACGAUAAGAU